GAUGUGUUUGUUUACAACAGGUUCACUUUAUUAAUAUGCGGUGAAUCGGUCACUUUAAUUAGCAGUCCUUUAACUGCCAUUUACAUACGGUUUUGAUGAGCUCUCAGCCAAUCAGAAUCAAGUAUCACACAACGUCGUGCUAGAAUGAACAGUUAGGGAUGAAAAU